rnacentral:rRNA from 1 species
UCCUACGGGAGGCAGCAGUGGGGAAUAUUGGACAAUGGGCGGAAGCCUGAUCCAGCCAUGCCGCGUGUGUGAAGAAGGCCUUUUGGUUGUAAAGCACUUUAAGCGAGGAGGAGGCUACCUAGAUUAAUACUCUAGGAUAGUGGACGUUACUCGCAGAAUAAGCACCGGCUAACUCUGUGCCAGCAGCCGCGGUAAUACAGAGGGUGCGAGCGUUAAUCGGAUUUACUGGGCGUAAAGCGUGCGUAGGCGGCUGAUUAAGUCGGAUGUGAAAUCCCUGAGCUUAACUUAGGAAUUGCAUUCGAUACUGGUCAGCUAGAGUAUGGGAGAGGAUGGUAGAAUUCCAGGUGUAGCGGUGAAAUGCGUAGAGAUCUGGAGGAAUACCGAUGGCGAAGGCAGCCAUCUGGCCUAAUACUGACGCUGAGGUACGAAAGCAUGGGGAGCAAACAGGAUUAGAUACCCUGGUAGUCCNUGCC